ACGCUUGAGUUUCUUCAGAUGAAGUCAGGUUUUUUAAUGACCAUAUUGGUCCGUAAGCUAGUCUUUUCUUUGGCAUUUCCGGCUUUACUGCCUGAAUAUGUCUCAUUUAGUUGUAGAAAUCCCUAAAAAAGCCCCGUUAAAAGGGUGUUGGGUAGAGAUUGUAGCUGAGAACUGGGUCAAAGAGGACAUUUUGUACAUACCUGAUAACUCGUACUCGUCAGCCUAUAAAUGAAACAUGUUGAUCGGUGGUGCUGAACCGGUUGUUGAAAGUUGGGAAUCGUAUCCAUGUUUUAAAGUAAUUCAUCGAUUCGAUACCUAUGAAGAGGCUAGACAAAAUCUCCCCCGUGCUGAAAAAGGUUUGCCAAUUCUGCCAAAUGAUCCCUCUCAAACUGGCAGAGGUUGUCGACAAACUACUUUGAAAAGCAGACUACUGCCUGGUGAAGUUACCACAGAACAAGAGAGUGAUGUCAGUCUGAACGAUGAAAGUUACUUUGCUACUACCUCCAAGUCAUUACUUAAGACCAACACAACAGCGAGUAAAGGAAAAGGAAUCGUUAAACGAUCAGCACCUGGACCAAGUAAAAGCAGUUUACUACCUAUUCCACCCUCUGGACUUCAGAAGAAAAAGAAGAAGGAAAAGCCACACGAUACAAAUCAAGUAGAGACUAUACCAAAAGCAAUUAAUACACCACGAUCACAACAGAUCCAGACGUCAUCAUCUACUACCUGUUUAGUGCCAGCACAUACGUCCAGCAAUCAACCAUCAGCACGUUCUAUUACCGACAACGAUAGUAACGAAUCAUGUUUAGAUUUCAAUAGCGAUUGCACAGAUAUUAAGCAUAAUAGUCAGGAGAUCAAUGACGAAAUGUUGUGUACUGGCUUUCCAAAUGAUACACAAGGAAUGUCAAAUGGAAACAUGGUACAAUCGUUUUCUAUGGACACCCAAUAUCUGACAGCACCAUGCAGAAAUGGGAUUAAUGAAAACCGAAAAACCUCACAAUCAUUUCCUUAAAUUAAUAGCAGCUAGUUCCGUGUUUUCAGUGUUUGCAUAAAUGAAGGAAAAGUUAAACGUGAUUGAAAAACGGUUGCGAAACCAGUCACCGACGAGAAUAAUGAAAAUGAUUCCAGUGACGGGGAAGAUAAUCUCUUCCACUCACUACUCUUGAACAACUUGAACAAUUAGAAAGAGAUCUAGAACGAGAUAAUUCAAUGUUCAACAAAUUGGUCUUGAGGAUUAAAAAACUGGGAAAAAGAAACACCAAACACCCCAUGGGUGAGGGUUUAGUUCCUUCUGAUUCAGUGUCAAAAGAUGUCAACUGGCUUGGUAGACGAGAUAAAAGAGUGAAUGAUGGAAACGGAAAGAGAGGGACAAAAGAUAGUUUCAUAUCUAAGGCCGUCCUGA